AGUCAGUACAUCACGCCACGCCACGGAUUCAACUUUCAAGUUCACGCUCACUUCAGUUCACCCACCGGCCACCGCCAUCGUCACCAUCGUCACCUCCGUCACCUUCGUCACCUCCGUCAGACUGUCACCUUCGUUAGUUCAUUUCUCCGUCUCCUUCGCCUCUUCACUGGCGCCUACAAACUCCUCCGUCAUCAGUACCCAAUCCAAUUUCGUUUUUUCUCUUCCCGCUUUUGGACACUUUCUCACUUCUCUUCCCACACUUUUCUCUUUCUCUAUUUUCUCUCUUCUCUCUCUUUUUUCAGAAACCCUAACACAGCCUCCAUCCCCCUUUCCCCACCAUAUUUGUGGUCACUUCCACCUCCAUACCAAAUUCAAAUUUGAACUUCUCAUCUCACGACCUUCCUGA